GAUGAACGCUGGCGGCGUGCCUAAUACAUGCGAGUCGAGCGAACAGAUGAGGAGCUUGCUCCUCUGACGUUAGCGGCGGACGGGUGAGUAACACGUGGAUAACCUACCUAUAAGACUGGGAUAACUUCGGGAAACCGGAGCUAAUACCGGAUAAUAUAUUGAACCGCAUGGUUCAAUAGUGAAGGACGGUUUUGCUGUCACUUAUAGAUGGAUCCGCGCCGCAUUAGCUAGUUGGUAAGGUAACGGCUUACCAAGGCAACGAUGCGUAGCCGACCUGAGAGGGUGAUCGGCCACACUGGAACUGAGACACGGUCCAGACUCCUACGGGAGGCAGCAGUAGGGAAUCUUCCGCAAUGGGCGAAAGCCUGACGGAGCAACGCCGCGUGAGUGAUGAAGGUCUUCGGAUCGUAAAACUCUGUUAUUAGGGAAGAACAAAUGUGUAAGUAACUAUGCACGUCUUGACGGUACCUAAUCAGAAAGCCACGGCUAACUACGUG
rnacentral:rRNA from 1 species